UGGGGAGUGGGAGGGGUGGAAGCGGAUAGACUUUACAGUGCUCUUGCUUUGUGGGAGAUAAGAAAUACCAUCGCCAGCGAAGGUAGAGGAUUUGCAGGCCCGAGGAUUGAGCUCCACCCAGGAAUGCCUGGCUGAUGAUGGAGGUGGGCAGAUGGUGAGGACACCCUAAGCACCCAGCUCCUCACAGGCGGCAGGCAGAGUGGGCGAAACAGUUCCUGAAAUAAAUCCCUGGGACUUGGCCCAGGGAGGGAGUGAGGCUGAGAUAGGAGCGCAUGCUCUGAAGGGAGUGUGAACAGAUUUGAGCUUGAAGGAGGGCAGCUGGGGCCCGGGACCUACCCCCCGCCCCGCGCCCCCACCCCGCGCCCCCACCCACUAACCUAUAGGGCCCCCCACCAGCCGCUAUAACUCAUGGGAUCCCGGAACCGGAACCGGAAGCCAAAGUGUGAAGCAUCAGAUCUCUCGGCUACCCUGAACUGUUGGGGACUCCAUCUCUAUUUAGUUUAUUCAGAUGCUGACUCUUAUCCCUCAGGAGAGAGAAGGCAGAAGUGCUUGCUCAUUCCCUGGAACUCUCCCAGUGUAAUGGGGGAGGAACAGAGCCACCAGUCAGAUCAGACAGCAUCUCAGAAAGUAACCCACAAAGCAAGGCUUCUGUGACCUUGACCAAGUCAUUUCUUGUCCCCUGACCUCAGUUUACCCAUCUGUAAAAGGAGGGGGUUGAAUACAUAAUUAUCUUUUCUGGUUUUCUUUCUCUGGUCCUCAGUAGGAGGUGGGCAUGGGGAACUCCUUAAUGAUCUUUCUGUCUUCCUCUUAUCUUUUGUUGAAAUGACCUUGUUUUGUUUUUAAGUUUGUUUACUGUCUGCCUUCAUCUCCAGGUUGUACAGGACAGCCUUCAUCCAUUUUGCACACCAAUCUAUCCCCAGGACAGUGGCAGGCACACUCGUAAGUGUGGUGGAUGAUCAUCUUGUAUCUGUGGAAUUCGGGGUGUCCACCCAAGGGUUGGAGGGUUGGGGUGUCACCUCAGUGAAGAAUCUAUUUUAGUCUAUAGAUGCUAAUAACAUUCAGGAAAGACACUAUCAAAUAAGGUUAGGGAGUUUAUCUGGGAGGGUUUCCUGGAGGAGGUGAGGAAAAGAAGCAGAUAUAGAACUGGAAUUAAGUAUUCUGAUUAAGUAAGAGAGGAGGACCAUGGGAUUGGAAGUACUUUCUUGGUCCUACCUACUGCUCGGGAGGCAAGACCUGAGGUUGAGGUUUAACAGACAGUUUCGCUCCUCUCUUCCCAGUAAUUAGUUACCUGGCCUGGGACACUGCCUAGAAUCUUGUUCACCACUCCCCUAUCCCAGCUCCUCCCAAGUUCACCCCAGGAUGGUCAAACUGUAUCUAGAUCCCAUUAUCUGCCUCAGCACUCCAGAGGAGCCCAGUGUAGGGCAGGGGAUAGGGAAGGGACUCGCAAGUUCUAGACUUGUGAUACCCAAUAUGGCAGCCACCAGCCAUAUGUGGCCACUGAGCAGGGGAAAUGUAACUGAUCUGAGACCUAUAAAUAUGAAACAUACAACAGAUUUUGAAGCCUUAGUAUGAAAAAAGAAUUUAUAUAUCUCAUACUUUUUUAUAUAGAUAUGUUGAGUUUUUGAAUAUAUUGAGUUAAAAUGCUUCAUUAAAAUUAGUUUCAUCUGCUUCAUUUUACCUUUAAAAAAUGUGGCUCCCAGAAAUUCUUAAAUUACAUAUGUUGUUCAUAUUCAAUUUCUUUUAAAAAUAUUGUUAUUAUUUAAAAUUUGUAUAUUUAUUUGAUGGUGUUGGGUCUUAUUUGCAGCAUUCAAACUUCUUAGUUGUGGCGUGUGGAAUCUAGUUCCAUGAUCAAGAAUCGACCCUGUGCCCCCUGCAGUGGAAGUUCUGAGUCAUAACCACUGGACCAUCAGGGAAUUCCUUCAAUUUAAUUGAAAACACCUUAUCAAACUAUGAUUCUCACUGAUUCAAACCUGAUUACUUUGAAGGUGAUUUUAUAGCUUCAAUCAGGGUGUGUUCAUGCUAUAAACCAUCUCUUUAACUGUUUGUUUGCUGAUGAGCCCAGUUAACUAGAAUCCACAGAAAAUUCCUAACCUGAUUUUACUCAAUAGCUUUUGACCUUUCAUCAUACUGCUGAGAUAGUAGCAACAGUGUUGAUAGACUGAAGUUUCAUCAUCUUCCCAUCACUUGCUCCUUCCUCAGCCCAGCCCUCUCCCAACCCCUGAAAGGUGCUGGAGCAGAA